AUUUGAAAUAAUAUUGGUUUUUGUAGUAAACACAGGACGUCGUAAUAGUCUGAUGAUGGAUAAGUAAUUGUCUUUGGAUAGAUAGGAUCCCAAGCAGCAGACUGUCGUCUAAUUCACGUCAAUUUUUGGUCAUAACUCGUCGGCGACGUCAUUCGCCCAAAAAAUCACGUGAUAAUGACGAGAUUUUUAUGACUUACUUCUGACGUCAAUUAAUGACGUCAAAAGGCCGUCUUUUUUUCGUCAUUUUUUAUAGAUUAUAUGAUCAAUUAGAUGUGGGUGGUCGUAUUCUUUAAAAAGUGGCCUUCAUAAUGCUUAAUUAUAUUUAGAGCAAAAAAUACAACGGCUUUAUUAGACAUACACCAAACACAAGUUUUUUCAUUCUAAUAAUUUCUAAUAAAAUAAUUAAUUUCUGAAAAUUUGUUUACUCUGGAAAUGUUAUUUUGUAAGUACCUGCUUGGCAAAUUAUAAAUAGAACAUCCGGGGUUGACCGUAUAAUAGUGAAAGGACCCUAGGAAAUUCUUUGUCUAUUGUCCCUACAACGGGACAAGAUUUUGAAGAAUUCCUUCGUCGAAUUUUGAUUUUAUAAAGACGUUUAUAAAGUGAUGAUGGUUACCAAAAAAAUUAGAGAGUGAUUUAAUAUUUAGUUUUAUUAAAUUUAUUUCAUCGCAUGAAAAAAUAAUGCUUAACUUCCGUAUUUACUAUACAAUACAUCAGAUGUUUGAGGCGUGCAUUCGGACUUUCCCUUUUUUCGGUAUUUAUGUUUAUUGCACUUCACAGUGACUCAUUCCAAUAUUUCCAGUUGGGUCUCAACCACCGAAGCUUUCUUGUGUAUCCGUUACUCACUUCAUUUUUAACACAGUUUUGUGAAAAUUUCUGCCAUUCAGAGUCGGGUUGUACUUAUUUACACUAGUUUUUUCAGAUAAGCUGGAAAGACCACCAUUAAUCACUGAAGAUACUCCCACUAAUUAUGAAGAACUUACGGUGAUUGUUUUUGAAAAUGAGGCGCCAUAAAAUAUUGCAAAGAUUUGAAACAAAUACAAAACACAUGUGCGAAACGAAAGAAAUGCUAAAGGAAACGAGUGAAAAAAUCUCUAACAUGAAAACGUCAUCAAAUCUGACAAUUGAAAAAGAAAACAAAAAUAGAAGUUAUGCCGCCAAGACCACACCUAAACAAAUUUUGACGAAUUACAAGAUUAUUUUUGCCUAUUAGAACAAGCAGAUUUCUUUGUAAGUUAAAAAAAUACAAUGAAUUCAUAUAUACAUAUAUAACAUAUAACAUUGGAUAUUAUAUACAGGUAGAUGCCUGUAACACCACGAUACUUUUUGGUAACUUACUAUACAUGGCACAUUUCGCUUCAUUGUAAAAAAUUAUUGACAACGAAAUUUUCCUGAUAGGGUAUGCGUUUUUGUCAAUGCAACCAUUUUACGAUUAUCCGUUAAAUUCAAGUAAAUUUAGCAUUUUUAAAACGCAGAAUUUGUCUUCUGCUUUAAGCUGUAAUCCUUUAAAUUUAAUAAUAGCCAAAUGCUUGCUGUUGCCCAUAGACGAAAAAAUUAUUGCAUUUCCAUUAAUCCAUGUACUCUAACGGUUUUUUUUUUCAGUGCAAUAAAUUGAAGCAAACUUAAAAAACUUUGGUUAUUAAUAUGAUUGUUAAAACAGAAUUAAUUCUUAACGGUACUUUUUUGUGUGUUGGGGACAGUCAAGUCGUCGUGAAUUAGAAAGUUUUACAGUGCAUUUUCAAAUCAAGUAAGUAUAACAA